AUACGUAGGGGGCGAGCGUUGUCCGGAAUGAUUGGGCGUAAAGGGCGCGUAGGCGGCCCGGUAAGUCUGGAGUGAAAGUCCUGCUUUUAAGGUGGGAAUUGCUUUGGAUACUGUCGGGCUUGAGUGCAGGAGAGGUAAGUGGAAUUCCCAGUGUAGCGGUGAAAUGCGUAGAGAUUGGGAGGAACACCAGUGGCGAAGGCGGCUUACUGGACUGUAACUGACGCUGAGGCGCGAAAAUGUGGGGUGCAAACAGGAUUAGAUACCCUGGUAGUCCACACUGUAAACGAUGAAUGCUAGGUGUAGGGGGUAUCGACCCCUUCUGUGCCGCAGUUAACACAAUAAGCAUUCCGCCUGGGGAGUACGGCCGCAAGGUUGAAACUCAAAUGAAUUGGCGGGG
rnacentral:rRNA from 1 species